rnacentral:tRNA from 1 species
UUUGAUAUUCUAUUAGUAGAGUCUGUGUUUCGGCCACAGAAUUUGAAAUUUUAGUAUUUCUGUCAAAU